rnacentral:RNase_P_RNA from 2 species
GGUGGGGGAAGCUCAUCAGUGGAGCCAUAUAUUGAAUGCUCCUCACUCCCCCAAGCCCCUGGAAAGAUCUGAGACUGGGGUCUCCAGCAGUACUAACCACGCCCUCCCGGAGCAGGGAGGUGAGUUCCCAGAGAGCAGGGCUCCACAUGUGGCGAGACUUUCAAGCUCGUGGGAGCUUGAAACAGACUCACUGUGGGGCAAGGGGGAGGGUGGGGUGCAGGCAGCAUUAGCAUACAAGAGAAGCUCAGUGGCUCUUACAUAGGAGGGAGAGAUAUGGCAAGGGCCAUUUCCCUCAGUAACUCUCUUGCUAUC